rnacentral:rRNA from 1 species
AACGAACGCUGGCGGCAAGCUUAACACAUGCAAGUCGAACGCUUCAUAGCAAUAUGGGGAGUGGCGCACGGGUGAGUAACACGUAGAAAUCUACCUAGUAGUGGGGGAUAGCUUUUGGAAACGAAAGGUAACACCGCAUACGCCCUGAGGGGGAAAUAUUUAUAGCUAUUAGAUGAGUCUGCGUCUGAUUAGGUAGUUGGUAGGGUAAUGGCCUACCAAGCCGAUGAACAGUAGCUGGUCUUAGAGGAUGACCAGCCACAUUGGGACUGAGACACGGCCCAAACUCCUACGGGAGGCAGCAGUGGGGAAUAUUGGACAAUGGAGGGAACCCUGAUCCAGCUAUGCCGCGUGAGCGAGGAAGGCCUUUGGGUCGUAAAGCUCUGUCGAGGAGGAAGAUAAUGACGGUACUCCUCGAGGAAGCCCCGGCUAACUACGUG